rnacentral:lncRNA from 1 species
CAGACCUCCAGCAAGCAGACAUGCCUGGGUUCCAGUGAGCUGCCCAUUCUGCUGCCCUCCGAGUUCACAGGUGAGGGAGAGUCAGCUCCGAGAGGAUACUUGGGCAACUACAGGGAUGCGACGAAGCAGGAUCUGAACCCAGACCCCUUGAUCUCCAGCCCUCAGGAGCCACUGAAGGAGGGGUUCAUCUGAAGGCGAGUGAGUCAGCCUGUGCUAGAAGACUGGGAUGGGGCUAGCCAAGUUCACCUGUAACUCCAGCACUUGGGAGGCGGAGGCAAGAGAAGCCCUGUGAAUCUGCGGCCAGUCUGGGCUACGUGGUGAGGCUUUCCCAGCUACACAUGGGAACUAACAACAGCGGCCAUCAUGGGUUAUUCUGAGGAGUAGUUGGCUCAUCACAAGGCACUGAACAUCAUCUAGCCAUAGUGGAUACAGCCAAGCCACAGAGGUGCCACAGUUCUAGAAAUGGUGGCUCUUGGAGGAGCUGGGUCAGGAUUUCAGCCUGGGCAUUCCGAUUCCAGAGGCUGCUGAUCUUCUGGACACCCACCACCACCGCGCCUCCCUGCGGCUCCCACUAGAACAAGGACAGCAGAGGAGACUGAAGGAGAGGAGACACUGGGGUCAAGGAUGCAGAUUUUCCAUCCAGCUCAAAAGAAGUGAGCCUGGGAUAACUGGCGUCCAUGGGAGGUGUUUGGUCCUUCACCAACUCUUAACGGACACAUUUUAAAUAUUGGAUAAUACAUUUUUAAAGCACAGCAGGUUCCCAUAACCCAGCAAGAGCAACUCCAGAGAGGCCCAAGGAAGUUCUGGAAUAAAA